CCUACGGGUGGCAGCAGUGGGGGAUAUUGCACAAUGGGGGAAACCCUGAUGCAGCGACGCCGCGUGAGUGAAGAAGUAGUUCGGUAUGUAAAGCUCUAUCAGCAGGGAAGAAAAUGACAGUACCUGACCAAGAAGCCACGGCUAACUACGUGCCAGCAGCCGCGGGAAUACGUAGGGGGCAAGCGUUAUCCGGAGUUACGGGGGGUCAAGGGAGCGUAGACGGUUCUGUAAGUCGGGAGUGAAAGCCCGGGGCCCAACCCCGGGACUGCUUUGGAAACGGUGUAACUGGAGUACAGGAGGGGCCGGCGCACUUCCUGUUGUAGCGGUGCACUGCGUAGAUAUCCGGAGGAACACCGGCGGCGAUGGCGGCCUGCUGGACUGCACCUGACGUUGAGGCUCG
rnacentral:rRNA from 1 species